UGAAAAGCUGUGAAGGGAAUAAGACACAGUGCUUUAAGCUGCAGAGAGUUGGCGUAUGGUGCGAGCCAAUGUUUAUGCCUGUGUGUAUAGCUCAUCCCGGAGUUGACUGUCCGAAAUGUAGGGCAGUACGCAAGACUGCGUUAGAGGUCAGAGCCUUGUCAGAGGCUUACUAAGGAGCAAUUUAUUGCUUAAAUUUGGGUGGUACCACGGUAACGCUUUGUGUAAUAUCGUCCCUUUU
rnacentral:ncRNA from 1 species